GACGAACGCUGGCGGCGUGCCUAAUACAUGCAAGUAGAACGCAGUUGCGAACGGGUGAGUAACGCGUAGGUAACUGCCUCAUAGCGGGGGAUAACUAUUGGAAACGAUAGCUAAUACCGCAUACUGUGAGAUGGACCUGCGUUGUAUUAGCUAGUUAGUGAGGUAAAGGCACACAAAGGCGACGGUACAUAGCCGAGCUGAGAGGGUGGACGGCAAAACUGGGACUGAAGAACGGGCCAGACUCCUGCGGGAGGCAGCAAGAGGGAAUCUUUGACAAUGGGCGGAAGUCUAACCGGGAAAAGCAGAGGGAGUGAAAGAGGAUUUCGGAUCGUAAAGCUCUGUUGAUAGGGAAGCGGUAACUAACCAGGAAGGAACGGCUAACUAGGUGCAAGCAGCCGCGGUAAUUC
rnacentral:rRNA from 1 species